UCGGGGUUACAGCCUUGCUGAAUUAUUCACCCUUGUCUUUUGCGUACUUCUUGUUUCCUUGGUGGGUUCGCCCACCACUAGGACAAACAUAAACCUUUUGUAAUUGCAAUCAGCGUCAGUAACAAAUUAAUAAUUACAACUUUCAACAACGGAUCUCUUGGUUCUGGCAUCGAUGAAGAACGCAGCGAAAUGCGAUAAGUAGUGUGAAUUGCAGAAUUCAGUGAAUCAUCGAAUCUUUGAACGCACAUUGCGCCCUUUGGUAUUCCAAAGGGCAUGCCUGUUCGAGCGUCAUUUGUACCCUCAAGCUUUGCUUGGUGUUGGGCGUCUUGUCUCUAGCUUUGCUGGAGACUCGCCUUAAAGUAAUUGGCAGCCGGCCUACUGGUUUCGGAGCGCAGCACAAGUCGCACUCUCUAUCAGCAAAGGUCUAGCAUCCAUUAAGCCUUUUUUUCAACUUUUGACCUCGGAUCAGGUAGGGAUACCCGCUGAACUUAAGCAUAUC
rnacentral:rRNA from 1 species